rnacentral:rRNA from 1 species
GGUUGAUCCUGCCAGUAGUUAUAUGCUUGUCUCAAAGAUUAAGCCAUGCAUGUCUAAGUACAAACUAUUCUAUAGUGAAACCGCAAAAGGCUCAGUACAACAGCUAUUAUUUAUUUGAUUAUAAAUACAGUUACUUGGAUAACUGUGGUAAUUCCAGAGCUAAUACAUGCAAACAACAUGAAAUCACCGUGCAAACGAUGACACAUGUGCUUUUAUUAGAUUAAAACCAAAUCCAUUUCGGUGGAUACAUUUUAGAUGAAUCUGGAUAAUUAUGGCUGAUCGUAUGGUCUCGU